GAUGGACGCUGGCGGCGUGCUUAACACAUGCAAGUCGAACGGUGAACACGGAGCUUGCUCUGUGGGAUCAGUGGCGAACGGGUGAGUAACACGUGAGCAACCUGCCCCUGACUCUGGGAUAAGCGCUGGAAACGGCGUCUAAUACUGGAUACGAGUAGCGGCCGCAUGGUCAGUUACUGGAAAGAUUUCUUGGUUGGGGAUGGGCUCGCGGCCUAUCAGCUUGUUGGUGAGGUAAUGGCUCACCAAGGCGUCGACGGGUAGCCGGCCUGAGAGGGUGACCGGCCACACUGGGACUGAGGCACGGCCCAGACUCCUACGGGAGGCAGCAGUGGGGAAUAUUGCACAAUGGGCGAAAGCCUGAUGCAGCAACGCCGCGUGAGGGAUGACGGCCUUCGGGUUGUAAACCUCUUUUAGCAGGGAAGAAGCGAAAGUGACGGUACCUGCAGAAAAAGCGCCGGCUAACUACGUGCCAGCCGCCGCAGUAA
rnacentral:rRNA from 1 species